UCUCCCUAGGAAAUAUAUUGGAAGAUAAAAAUGGAUGCAGAAUUACUGAAAAUAUUUGGUAAUGGAUUCUUUUCAAAUAGUCACAUUUAAACAUACAAUUUCAAGGGGAAAAAACUGUAAUAUGGCAAGCAUUAAUACCAACAGUAAGGUAUUUGAUAUGUUCCUGUUUUAACACAUUUAUUUGAUUUUAACCAACAUAGAUAUGUAAAAAUAGCAUACAUACCGCUCACAAGAAAGUGCAACAUCAUCAAGGAUUCUAAUCAUCCUUCCUGUGUGGGUUCCUUCUAUUCUCUUUGUCAUAUUCUACUGUAGUUGCACUAAAAAAAUUGUGUUGCUUCCUGUUCACUACCGAACUAAUAUUUAACAAGUGGGAGUCUUGGAGGUGUUUUAUCUUCCUUGAUUAAGCACUUUACCUUAGAGAAAUAGACCACUUCUGUGUCUUUAAGCAAUGUUCUAAUUGACAGGAUAAUAGUCUUAUCGCUGUGUGCCUUUGCUAAUAUGUAAAUAGCAACUCAAAGCGCAUUUGGCUACAGUACAAGAUGUUUCAAAAAGAUCGACCCGAUUUGAAUACUGAAUCUUUCUACAUUACCUCAUAACCUUAUAUUUUAUCUACCAUUUCCAUUAAACUGAAAUGUAACUUGCUUAAAUGUACACUGUACAGUAUUAAGAUUGCUAAAACAAACUACUUUUUUCCAUAUAUAUUAUGUUUACUCAAAAACCUCAUUCCAGAGUUAAAUGCUUCAACUGCUGUUCGGCAGUGGAACUCUCUCCCCCAGACUGUGGUGGAGGCUCCUUCUUUGGAGGCUUUUAAACAGAGGCUGGAUGGCCAUCUGUCAGGGCUGCUUUGAAUGCGAUUUCCUGCUUCUUGGCAGGGGGUUGGACUAGAUGGCCCAUGAGGUCUCUUCCAACUCUACUAUUCUAUGAUUCUAUGAUUCUAACAUGCAGUACAUUUAUGAGUGAUCCUGUCUGAUUUUCUCCUUAAGCAGAUGUCGGCAACAUGAUCCUGCAAUAUGAGGAAGAGAUUAAAAACUCUGUACUCUGGGGUUCUGGAACAGGAGUGGAGGGGAGGGUGUUCAUGGAACUGAACAUACCAGAGAGAGAGAUUUGGGGAGAAUUCACCAUGAUUUAUAGAAGUUGUAGGGACUGGGAUGUAUAGUUCACUUGCAAUCUAAGAAUACCAAUGAUGGACCUGGAACUAACUUGGCACACAGACCCAACAUGGCCAACUCUGCAUACUGGUGGGAUUUGGGGGUGAUUCACCUUGACAUCCAGGAGUUAUAGUUCACCCGUAUUCAGAGAACACGGAACCCAUCUGAUGACAGAUCUGGACCAAACUUGGCACACAAACUCAACAUGGCCAACUGGGAAUACUGGUGGACUUUGGGGGUGAUUGACCUUGGCUUCAGAGACUAAUAGCCAUAUUCAGAGAAUACUGAAUCCAGCACAUGAGGGAUCUUGACCAAACUUGGCACACUGUCCUGUUUCGGUCUUUCAAGAAUAGCCUUAAAACACUGUGGUAAGUAAAUGAAAACUGCUUUACUUCAGCAAAACAUAAAGUACAGCAUACUCAGUGGAAUAAUGCAAAAGGAAGCAAGGAAGUCUAAGGGUAAACACAGUUCUUAGUCUCUGUUAAAUUCCCAAAUCAAAUAGCAGUCUUACUUCAGACAAAGAAACAGCAAUAAAUCCUUAGGAGCAGUUUCCCAGAUGCAGACUUGAAGCAGGCACAAGGGGAGCGAAGAGUCAGUUUGUUACCAGCAAGAGCUGGCUGCACCUGCUUCUGCUUUAUAGCCCUGAGUCCCCUCCCAGCUGCUAGGGUAGUGUUUAAUUACUCAGCUGCAUUUCUGGCAGCUAUUCUAGUUGAACGAUGUCUCUGCUCUGUUUCCUUUCACCUCUCCUGAAGGGUACUUGCAAAAUCUCCUCCUCAAAUUCCAACUCACCCUCAGAUUCAUGAACACUUUCCUGCUCCCCUUCCUCUUCUGAAGAAGAGGAAUCCCUAACACACAUAUACCUAACGUGGCCAACUGUGAAUACUGGCAGAGUUUGGGGAAGAUAGACCCAAGAUCUUUGGGAAUUGUAGUUCACCAACAUCCUUAUGCAUUUAAUGGGAGUAUUCAUAAAAAACAACAGGAAAGACUGAGUUUUUUUCUAAGAAAUAGCGUAACAUAUGAUCAAACUGAUAUUACCUAACGUCCAAAAACAAAUAAUCCCCUUUUCAAAUAACUCGGACAUCACUGGGUACCCAAACUAGUUAGUAAUGAAAAUGAAACAGAAGAAAAUAAAACAGAUUUGGAUACACAAAAAUGGAUGAAUAAAUCAAUUAUUAUUCAUAUUAAUACAUCAAAGAGAAGCAACAACUAUGUAUUUUUUCUUUAAAAGAUUCAGAAAGAUAAAGGAAAAAGGUCUUACAUUUUGAUGCUGAUACAAUUCCAGGGGCAUAGACAUGAGCUCCCCGAAGCACCGCACUCCCACACUGUGCACCAACAAUAGCUUCAUUUGCUAAUUUUUGUAGAUCCUUUCUGAAGAGGGAAAAUAACAGUUCAGGAAAAUCUAUUAACAUAAUUAAGAGAACUGUUGGUCUAACCCUUCCUGCUGUUCUUAGCUGCCUACUCUUGGUCUUUUAUUUUUUCCGUAUGAUGUUUACCCUGUCAUUACUGUUUCUAAGCAAACAAGACAACAACUGUGCAAUAUUGCACUCAGCUUUUGAAUCUGAAUUAAAUUUUAUAAACUGUCAUAUUUCUUCGAUUCUAAGAAGCCAUUUAUUGUAAAAUUCACACUUAUCUCAGUACCACCAACAGAAAAAAGGUUUGUAAUAUAUACAUAAAAACACCCAUGAAGAAUACAGUAAAUCUACAUUUAGGGGUCAAGUUUAUCAAGAAUGCAAGUUAAUCCCGCACAUUUUCUCUGCUUUAUCUUAUUUCAUGUUUACCAACUGUAUUUUCCAUCACUGAUUUACAGGCAUUGUGAAAAUUAAAUCCCUGAAAAGACUUUGCACAUAAUGCUGAGUGGUAAUCUGCUUCCUAUCUUCUCCAGAACUUCAAGGAGGUUAAUAGCUUCCAAAGCCCAAACUGUGGUUAAUGUAAUGUUCAAGCAUGCACUCGCAAUGACCCAUGGCUUCAGGCUGAGUUAUGUGAACAAAACAUUGUUGAAAGUAAUCAAAUUGACAGAUUAGAACAUGAAAAGCUAUGAUUAAUCAUAAAGUGUCAAACACUUUUAAAUUAUUCCUUAAGAAUGUGCUAUAAAAGGGGGCAUAUGCCUAAGACAGGCUACAGUUCAUCUUCCUAAUGGUAAUUAUAGUUUAGCAUGAACAUGCCAACCUGCUCAUUACUGAUUUAGCAAUAAGUCUGUUCUAAUCCAUUUUCAAGGUUCAAGACUGGUCUAUACAUUAGCAGAAGUAUUUAAUAUAAAGCAAGGUAAAUUGUAUAAUAUUCUAUAACACACUGACCUGGGACCAAUAACAGGUAUAAGUAAGAUGUCAGGAAGCUGUGGAUGCUGAAGAACUGGAACACUAAGACUUGCAUAUUGCUAUAUGUUAGAAAAGAAAUUAAUAUUUCUGAGAUAAAUAAAAGCAGCAUUAUUUUAAGUUAAGCUAUUUUUCUUGAUUGCUUUAACUGUCACUUCUACUGUUACCAUUAUUAUUAUUGUGACAAUUAGUACUACAACUGUACAGGCUACAAAAGUGGCAGGCUAAAACCCAGAACCUCAAUCCAUGGCUGAGACCGGAUGAGAGAUUCCCACCUGAGCACACAGAAGACUGGGCAACAUAGAAGGCUCUGAACAGACUGCGCUCUGACACGACGAGGUGCAGAGCCAAUCUUCAGAAAUGGGGCUACAAAGUGGAGUCCACGACAUGCGAGUGCGGGGAAGAGCAAACCACAGACCACUUACUACAAUGUGGUCUGAACCCUGCCACAUGCACAAUGGAGGACUUUCUCGCAGUGACACCAGAGGCACUCCAAGUGGCCAGAUUCUGGUCAAAAGACAUUUAUUAUAAUGCCAAGUUUUUUAACUUUCUUUGUGUUUCUAAAUACAUUACAACUGUACCCUCAGUUUUGCUUCUGAUAAGAUAAAUAAAUAAAGUACUACAACUACA